rnacentral:rRNA from 1 species
AGUUCUGAGUAAGGGCGUGUGGUGGAUGCCUUGACUGAAGAAGGCGAUGAAGGACGCGGCAUAGCGGCGAUAUGCUUCGGGGAGGUGCUUAGCAACCUACGAUCCGGAGAUUUCCGAAUGGGGAAACCCCAUCGAGCGAACCUCGAUGACUCUCUAGUUAAACGCCAGAGAGGGCAGACCUCGGGAAGUAAAACAUUUCAGUACCGAGAGGAAAAGAGAACAAUUGUUAUUCCCUUAGUAGCGGCGAGCGAAACGGGAUCAGCCCAAACUCAGCCACAUAAAUAGCUUGGAGCCAUAAGCCGGUAGCCCGUAGCGGAAUUCGUUUUGCUACAAGCUGCUGGCUACAAGCUACAAGCUGUUUAUGCGGAUGGGGGUUAUAAGGCUACAGCGCUGGAAACAGGUGGAGUUACAAAAUGCUUAGUUAGUGGAACGAGCUGGGAAGCUCGACUCCAAAGGGUAAUAGUCCCGUACACGAAAACGAAGCAUCUCUAUGGCUGUAGUUCUUGAGUAUCUCGAGACACGAAUAGCUCGAGUGAAUUUGCCGGAACUAACCGGUAAGGCUACAUACCUCUUCAGAUCGAUAGUGAACAAGUACCGUGAGGGAAAGGUGAAAAGAACCCCGGUGAGGGGAGUGAAAUAGAACUGAAACCACAUGUCUACAAGGAGUCAGAGCGGCCGUCAUUUAUUUGGCGUUGCCGCGAUGGCGUGCCUAUUGAAGAAUGAGCCAACGAGUUGAUGCGUACGGCUUGGCUAAGCCCUAUCGGGUGGAGCCGCAGCGAAAGCGAGUGUGAAUAGCGCGUUUGUCGUACGUAUCAGACCCGAAGCCGGGUGAGCUACCCUUGAGCAGGAUGAACUUCGUAGAAAUACGGAGGGAGGUCCGAACCCAUAGAUUGUUCAACAUCUCGGGAUGACUUGAGGGUUGGAGUGAAAAGCUUAUCGAACUCGGUAAUAGCUGGUUUUCUCCGAAAGAGCUUUCGGGCUUGCGUCGUGUGUUUCUCUGGGGGGUAGAGCACUGGAAGAAGCGGACAGUCCGAAAGGACGCUGCCUCUAUCAAACUCCGAAUACCCAGAGCGCAGCACGGCAGUUAGGCGAUGGGGGCGAAGCUCCAUACGCCAAAAGGGAAACAGCCCAGACCGCCGUCUAAGGUCCCUAAAUUGAUGCUAAGUGCAAACAAGGAGGUGGAAUUUCAUUGACAGUCAGGAUGUUGGCUUAGAAGCAGCCACCAUUCAAAGAAAGCGUAACAGCUCACUGACUUAGAGAUUCUGCGCCACAAAUGAUCGGGGCUAAGCAUCGUACCGAAGACGCGGAUUCGUGAACUUCAUUGAGGAAGGAGGUGAUGCAAAAUGCAGACGGCCGUGAACAUCGCCGUCGGACUUGCCGCAAUAUAUGCGCUGGUCAGCGCAUUACGUGCAUUGUGGCCCGGCCUGAAAAGGUCGCUGUGUCACUGAUAUGGUUUCGGGGACGCCGGUUGUCGGCGCUCCCCACCCAUCUUCUUUCUUCAAUGAAGUUCACGAGUGGUAGGAGAACGUUCCGCCUGCAAUGAAGGCAAAGGGGUGACCCAUGCUGGAGCGCGCGGAAGUGAAAAUGUUGGCACGAGUAACCGCAAUGCGAGUGAGAGUCUCGCACGCCGAAAGAACAAGGUUUCCUUCGCAAUGGAGAUCAUCGAAGGGUUAGUCGGUCCUAAGCCGAUGGCGAACGCCGGAGGCGAUGGACACAGGGUUAAUAUUCCCUGACCUGCUGUAUGUGCGAUGGAGUGACGGAGGGUUGUACUCUAGGCCCCUUAUUGGUUUGGGGUUCAUGUCGUGAGGAUGAUGCAUAGGCAAAUCCGUGCGUUAUAGUCCGAGCGAAGUGGAAAAGUGGAGGCCUCGGCCGAAACUGAUUUAGAGGAGCACGCUUCCAAGAAAAACUUCUAAGCUCAACAUACAGUAGACCGUACCGCAAACCGACACAGGUGUUCAGGGCGAGUAGCCCAAGGCGAACGAGUGAGAGGUCCCCAAGGAACUCGGCAAAAAAGCGGCCGUACGUUAGCAAUAAGGCCUGCCCUUCGCAAGAAGGGCCGCAGAGAAUUAUUCCCAACCGACUGUUUACCAAAAACACAGCUCCCUGCAAACUCGUAAGAGGAAGUAUAGGGGGUGAUGCCUGACCAAUGCCGGAAGGUCAAAUACGAUCGUUGCAAGCAUUUAUGUUUGUGGUGGAUUGUAUAAGCCCCGGUCAAUGUCGGCGAUAACUAUAAUCGUGAACUCGCUACGCCUCGCAAGAGGUCAAGAGUAGGGCGAUUAAAAAAUUCGACUAAAUGCUGGAACAACUGUUCCUUCAAUGGAUGCAGACCAUGUGCUACCCAAUGGAGAGUUACAUUGAGGUGACAAUGCGCAUGCGCAGUCAAUCAGCAGGAAAGACUUGUGCGCCAGAGUGGCAAUUAAAAAAACCACAAUGGAACAAAACAAAAAAGAACUAGCCCGCAUCCUUGCCAAGUUCAAAGGUAAGGAAAAGGCGCUGCAAUAUUAUCUGGCAGGAUUUGCCGAUGGAGAAAGUAGUUUCUCCGUGGCGAUUAUCAAACAUCCGACUGCAAAGUUCGGGUGGAUGAUUAACCCCUGUUUUCAGGUAUAUCAGCAUGAAAAACAUCGAGAAAUUCUGGAAAUGUUCAAAUUCGUUUUCAACGAAGGAAGCAUUUACAGAAAAUCCGGUGUGCAUCCCGUACUCAACUACAGCAUCAACUCGAUGCGUGGCAUACAGGAGAAAGUCAUUCCUUUUUUCGAGAAGCAUCCGCUUAUCGUGAAGGAAGAAACAUUCAAAACGUUCUGCGCCAUCGUGAGAGCGAUGGAGCGAAAAGAACACUUGACGAUUCAAGGGUUCAAGAAAGUCGUUGACAUGGCAUACACCAUGAAUCAGCAAGGUAAAGGGCGAAAGCACUCGAAAGAGGAAAUCUUCGCCACAUUGCCGAAAACUUAACAACGCGCACAAGAAUCCUCAGAGACUACACGUCGAACCGCGCGCCACAGCGCGGAUGAUAUAGUCCAAUCCUCAUGGCGACAUGAGGUGUAAGUACUUCGAAAUAGUAUUUCGAAAUGCCUAAGGUAGCGAAAUUCCUUGUCUGGUAAGUUCAGACGCGCACGAAUGGUAUAACGAGUUGGGAACUGUCUCGGGGACUUGCUCGGUGAAAAUACAAGGGCGGUGAAGAUGCCGCCUUCCUGCAGC